rnacentral:rRNA from 1 species
UAAACUCAAAGGAAUUGACGGGGGCCCGCACAAGCGGCGGAGCAUGUGGAUUAAUUCGAUGCAACGCGAAGAACCUUACCUGGGUUUGACAUGCACAGGACGUGCCUAGAGAUAGGUAUUCCCCUGUGGUCUGUGUGCAGGUGGUGCACGGCUGUCGUCAGCUCGUGUCGUGAGAUGUUGGGUUAAGUCCCGCAACGAGCGCAACCCUUGUCUCAUGUUGCCAGCACGUUAUGGUGGGGACUCGUGAGAGACUGCCGGGGUCAACUCGGAGGAAG